GCCUCGGUGGCAUAGUGGUAUUGCGUCGCCUUGGUAAGGCGAAGGUCGCGGGUUCAAUCCCCGCCCGAGGCU
rnacentral:tRNA from 1 species